GCAACUUACAUGUUUGUCUGGGGCGGCCCCAAGGCCAGCAGAUCUCUGCACUCACCUUCAGAAACUUGAAAGGUUUAUCGGGAGGUCUUAGCUGGGCUCAGCUGCGUGUACAGUGCCGAUGCACCUAAUGGCCUCCCUCUCUUAAGGCUGUAUCCUUAGAACUCCCGCUGUGGGAACAGUGGGCACAGGGUCCAUUCCAAAGAUGGGAGGGCUGGAGGAGCCUCCGAUUGCCCGGGUUCAACUCACGUGUCAAUCAACCGUUACAUUCUUUCAGUGACUUCCCCUAACAACUCCUUGUGCUGAGCAGGAUUUCCUGGGGCUCUGACACUUGCCAGUCCUCCAGUGUGGGUCAAGCAAGACCCGUUCUUUGACCAGACCCAGUGCGUCUUGUGAAUCUUCCUUCUCCCUCUGUUUGCUGACCAUCAGGUGUUAGAAAUCCGUGGCUCCACAGGUGACCUGACAGCACCGUGGACCUCUGCAUCCUCUCCUUGUCAUCCUUCUGGAUUUAACUGCUGUCCCGUGAGGCGCAAUGUCUUUGUCAUGUACUGAUGUGAGAGUUGGACCAUAAAGAAAUUUG
ensembl:lncRNA